CCUACGGGAGGCAGCAGUGAGGAAUAUUGGUCAAUGGGCGAGAGCCUGAACCAGCCAAGUCGCGUGAAGGAUGAAGGAUCUAUGGUUUGUAAACUUCUUUUAUAUGGGAAUAAAGUGAGGAACGUGUUCCUUUUUGUAUGUACCAUAUGAAUAAGCAUCGGCUAACUCCGUGCCAGCAGCCGCGGUAAUACGGAGGAUGCGAGCGUUAUCCGGAUUUAUUGGGUUUAAAGGGUGCGUAGGUGGUUAAUUAAGUCAGCGGUGAAAGUUUGUGGCUCAACCAUAAAAUUGCAGUUGAUACUGGUUGACUUGAGUAUAUUUGAGGUAGGCGGAAUGCGUGGUGUAGCGGUGAAAUGCAUAGAUAUCACGCAGAACUCCGAUUGCGAAGGCAGCUUACUAAACUAUAACUGACACUGAAGCACGAAAGCGUGGGUAUCAAACAGGAUUAGAUACCCGGGUAGUC
rnacentral:rRNA from 1 species